UUGAACGCUGGCGGCAGGCCUAACACAUGCAAGUCGAACGGUAACAGGAAGAAGCUUGCUUCUUUGCUGACGAGUGGCGGACGGGUGAGUAAUGUCUGGGAAACUGCCUGAUGGAGGGGGAUAACUACUGGAAACGGUAGCUAAUACCGCAUAACGUCGCAAGACCAAAGAGGGGGACCUUCGGGCCUCUUGCCAUCGGAUGUGCCCAGAUGGGAUUAGCUAGUAGGUGGGGUAACGGCUCACCUAGGCGACGAUCCCUAGCUGGUCUGAGAGGAUGACCAGCCACACUGGAACUGAGACACGGUCCAGACUCCUACGGGAGGCAGCAGUGGGGAAUAUUGCACAAUGGGCGCAAGCCUGAUGCAGCCAUGCCGCGUGUAUGAAGAAGGCCUUCGGGUUGUAAAGUACCUUCAGCGGGGAGGAAGGGAGUAAAGUUAAUACCUUUGCUCAUUGACGUUACCCGCAGAAGAAGCACCGGCUAACUCCGUG
rnacentral:rRNA from 1 species